GGACCUGACUGCUAUCGGAUUGAUACUAAGCCAUGCGAGUCAUUGUAGCAAUACAAGGCAGACGGCUCAGUAACGUGUAGUCAACCUACCCUAUGGACGGGAAUAACCUCGGGAAACUGAGUAUAAUGCCCGAUAGAACAUUAUGCCUGGAAUGGUUUAUGUUCCAAAUGAUUUAUCGCCGUAGGAUGGGACUGCGGCCUAUCAGUUUGUUGGUGAGGUAAUGGCCCACCAAGACUAUUACAGGUACGGGCUCUGAGAGGAGUGGCCCGGAGAUGGGUACUGAGACACGGACCCAGGCCCUAUGGGGCGCAGCAGGCGAGAAAACUUUGCAAUGUGCGAAAGCACGACAAGGUUAAUCCGAGUGGUUUCUGCUAAAGGAACCUUUUGUCAGUCCUAGAAACACUGAUGAAUAAGGGGUGGGCAAGUUCUGGUGU
rnacentral:rRNA from 1 species